GACGAACGCUGGCGGCGUGCCUAAUACAUGCAAGUAGAACGCUGAAGAGAGGAGCUUGCUCUUCUUGGAUGAGUUGCGAACGGGUGAGUAACGCGUAGGUAACCUGCCUGGUAGCGGGGGAUAACUAUUGGAAACGAUAGCUAAUACCGCAUAAAAUUGAUUAUCGCAUGAUAAUCAAUUGAAAGGUGCAAAUGCAUCACUACCAGAUGGACCUGCGUUGUAUUAGCUAGUUGGUGGGGUAACGGCUCACCAAGGCGACGAUACAUAGCCGACCUGAGAGGGUGAUCGGCCACACUGGGACUGAGACACGGCCCAGACUCCUACGGGAGGCAGCAGUAGGGAAUCUUCGGCAAUGGACGGAAGUCUGACCGAGCAACGCCGCGUGAGUGAAGAAGGUUUUCGGAUCGUAAAAGCUCUG
rnacentral:rRNA from 1 species